rnacentral:rRNA from 1 species
AUGACUUGCAACCCUAAAUGGGAAGAGAUAACAAAUGAGUUGCUUCCUGGACAGACGGCGCAAGACCGACCUGAUAUUGUGGCUCACGUGUUCUAUGGCAAACUAGAGGCUAUGAAAGAUAUGUUGCUCAAGAAGAUGGUGUUGUUGUUGCUUAUGUUUACGUAG